UACAGAGGGGGCGAGCGUUGUUCGGAAUUACUGGGCGUAAGGGGCGCGUAGGCGGCCAACUAAGUCAGACGUGAAAUCCCUCGGCUCAACCGGGGAACUGCGUCUGAUACUGGAUGGCUUGAAUUCGGGAGAGGGAUGCGGAAUUCCAGGUGUAGCGGUGAAAUGCGUAGAUAUCUGGAGGAACACCGGUGGCGAAGGCGGCAUCCUGGACCGAGAUUGACGCUGAUGCGCGAAAGCCAGGGGAGCAAACGGG
rnacentral:rRNA from 1 species